UGGCGGCGUGCCUAACACAUGCAAGUCGAGCGGGGACUUGCGACAGACCUGAAGACUUCGGUUGGAUGGAAAGAUGUAAAGUUCUAGCGGCGGACGGGUGAGUAACGCGUGAGCAACCUGUCCCUUACAGGGGGAUAACACAGCGAAAGUUGUACUAAUACCGCAUGAGACCACGGUAAGACAUCUUACAGGGGUCAAAGGAGUAAUCCGGUAAGGGGUGGGCUCGCGUCCGAUUAGAUAGCUGGUGAGGUAACGGCCCACCAAGUCGACGAUCGGUAGCCGACCUGAGAGGGUGAUCGGCCACAUUGGGACUGAGACACGGCCCAAACUCCUACGGGAGGCAGCAGUGGGGAAUAUUGGGCAAAAUGGGGGGAACCCUGACCCAGCAACGCCGCGUGAGGGAAGAAGGUUUUCGGAUCGUAAACCUCUGUCCUUGGUGAAGAGGAAGAGACGGUAGCCAAGGAGGAAGCCCCGGCUAACUACGUGCCAGCCGCCGC
rnacentral:rRNA from 1 species